AUCACUAAGCGGAGGAAAAGAAACUAACAAGGAUUCCCUUAGUAGCGGCGAGCGAACCGGGACAAGCCCAGCUUGAAAAUCGCGUUGCCUUGCGCCACGCGAGUUGUAGUCUGGAGAAGCGUCCUCUGCGGCGGACCCGGCCUAAGUCCCUUGGAAAGGGGCGUCAGAGAGGGUGAGAGCCCCGUCGGGCCGGGACCCUGCCGCUCCACGAGGCGCUGUCUACGAGUCGGGCUGUUUGGGAAUGCAGCCCUAAGAGGGAGGUAAAUUCCUUCCAAGGCUAAAUACAGGCGGGAGACCGAUAGCGAACAAGUACCGCGAGGGAAAGAUGAAAAGGACUUUGAAAAGAGAGUCAAAGAGUGCUUGAAAUUGCUGGGAGGGAAGCGAAUGGAGGCCUCAUCUGUGCGCCCCGGUCGGAUGCGGAACGGCGUUCGCGCUGGUCCGCCGCUCGACGCGGGGCGCUGGUCGGCGUGGGCUUCCCCGGCCGGGAUAAAAGUCGGUUCCCAUUUGGGAAUUUGACCUCAUUUGGCCCCGGGAGGCCGAGGUUCCUCGAAGCGCGGCUCCCUCGGGACGGGCGGCCCUCGGGUCGACCUGCGUGCUCGGGACGCCGGCGUAGCGGGCUU
rnacentral:rRNA from 1 species